GCCUCUGUCUGGGUUUACUGUGUUCGAUUUAAAAGGGACGACAGCGUCGCAUUUUCACAAGGAUGUCUGUCUUGUUUUCCUCAAGAACUCCCGCAGACUUCAACAUGAUAAUGGACCCUAGCAAUCCACAGAAUCAAAUGGGAAAUCUAACUUAGACAUACAUUUCAAAAAUCCCUUUUAGCAAGGCACUUUUAUCAACAGAAAUCCGUACUGCAUUUGCACCUCGCCCAGAAUCAGGCAUGCACGCAUUUUGAGAGAAGCCUGUUGGAGAGGAACCACGAAGGAAAGAAAACGUCAGAGCGAAUAUUGUGCGCUAUUUAUAAUAAUCUGCAUGUUUGUCUUCAGUAAUUAUUAAUGUUAUAAUUGUUGAUCCUUUAUCACAAAGCCUUAGGUAACUCACCAUAUGACUAACCUCCCUCUUGAUUAGAUUUACCAGGGCCUCUGAGGCUUCUAUUUGAAUCGCCACAUGGAAUCAACUACAGCAGGCAAAUCUUAUUUAUCAAAUAUUGGAGAUUUAUGUAUGCUGAGAGCAGCGUAGGCUGUUUACUUUGCUAUUGUGCCAUGCUGCGGCUGAAGAUUGCUCAUCACUCAGCGGUGGCCCAAGUCAACUCCACGAAAUCAACCCUUCAAGGUCCCUCAGCAGUAGGCGCAUUAUACAUUUUGCCUAUUACUGGUACCCAGAAGAUACUAAAAAUAUUGAAUGUGGUUCUGCUUGAAGGAGAGUCAACAAAGAGAACCGGUAGAGAUGUGCAAACACUCUCAUGAAGCUAUAAGGAGACGGCAUGGCACUGAGGUGAUUCUCAUGGUUAUUCAUAUCACAGCCCUCAAGUCUCACGCCAUCCGUCCAGCAUCCUCUAAAUACAGCUGUGGGAGUGGUCUGGAUAUCCAAAGUAACAUAAUGGGGCCUUUUUAUAUGGUGUAUGAAUAAAAACAUAAAACAUGAAUAAAUGCACAUAACUGUCACCAUUCCUU